GCCUCUUUAGCUUAGUGGUAGAGCGUUGCACUUGUAUUACAAUAUAUUUGAUAUGCAAAGGUCACCGGUUCAAUUCCGGUAGGAGGCA